UACGUAGGGCGCAAGCGUUAUCCGGAAUUAUUGGGCGUAAAGAGCUCGUAGGCGGUUUGUCGCGUCUGCCGUGAAAGUCCGGGGCUCAACUCCGGAUCUGCGGUGGGUACGGGCAGACUAGAGUGAUGUAGGGGAGACUGGAAUUCCUGGUGUAGCGGUGAAAUGCGCCAGAUAUCAGGAGGAACACCGAUGGCGAAGGCAGGUCUCUGGGCAUUAACUGACGCUGAGGAGCGAAAGCAUGGGGAGCGAACAGG
rnacentral:rRNA from 1 species